rnacentral:lncRNA from 1 species
UCGUCUAACAUUGGUAUCAUUUGAGAUAAAUUCUAAUUUUAAAAAUCAAACUAUCAAGAUCAAACUAUAAUAAAAUUAUAAAAUAAAAAAUAUACCUUUAAAUUUUAAAUCCAUAUUUCUAAUAAACGUUAUCAAGUUUUUAUAAUUGUCCUGAUAAGAACAGUUACGUGGAAAGCUAUUAACUUCUCUAAAUAAUUCACAAUUGACAUUGCCGAUCCAUGUUUUCUUUAUAGCACGGAAAUAGUCAGAUAUAUACCUAACUCUGUAAAAAUCAUAGUCAGAUAUAUACCUAGGCGUCGCAUAGGCGGUCAUGCGCUCCAGGUCGGAUCCGCCUAACCCAAUAACCCAUUUAAAUGACUUAAGUCAUUUAAAUAAGAGGGUGAGGGUUUAAAAAACCUUAACUCCUCUCUUAUUUCUUCUUUCUUCCUCUUUUCUUCCCUUCCCUCCUACAUUUGAACCCCAAACCCUAGAUUUUCAGAUCAUCUCCCCCAUCCAUUUUCUCCGGCCAUCUUCUAGGGAGACUUCGGCCACCACAAGGGAACACUCCGGCGACCUCCACACGUGCUCCGGCGAAGUCCAGGCAUGCUCCGGCGACCCUCCGGCCAUCGUUGACCUAGGUAUUUUUUGUCCCAAAUUUUUUUCCUAUGUGCCCCCUAUCUGUACAAACCUAUAUCUCACUCCGGACAGUCAUAAAUCGCACUCCGGCACUCUUAAAGAACACUCCGACGAUCACUUAAAAAAACACUCAGGACAGCAAUUAAUUUACCUCUGUCCAACCACAUUAAAAUCACUCCGGGCAGUAAUUUAAUCACUCCGGACAGCAAUUUUACAUUAGAUUUUUGAAGGUAAAAACCUAAUAUUUAAAUUGUAAAUUUAUUUUACAAUUUACAUACCUAAAAUCUAACUUAGAUUGUUGGAUUGCAUUUAUUUUUAAAAUUUUCAGAAAUGUCGGAUGACGAAGAAUACGUUCCUCCCUCAAACGAAGAACAAAUAGAGGAAAACAAAGUGAAGUGACACUCUUCUUUUUCCGAAGAGACGAUUAAUAACAAAGCGAAUCGACCGAAAUCCGAUGAUCCCGGAUGGAAAUACGGUUUCAUGGAAGAUCGAACAAAUCAAAACAAUGUUCGAUGUCUUCUAUGUAACUUUCUUUCCAAGGGUGGAAUAGGUCGGUUGAAGGGUCAUCUGACGGGAGGAGACAAGAACUGUAUCAAAUGUCCGAAUGCCUCGAGAUUUGUCUCAAAGGAGAUUGCGGACUAUGUCGCCAAAAAGAAAUUAGCGGCUAGCAAACGCAAGGACAAGCUACCAUUUACUCCAGAGGUUGAUGCCAUCGAUUUAGAUGACCCUAGCAAUGAGCGAACAUUGAAGAGGAAGUUGACGGUCUCCGGUUUCGUUUCAUCGUCUCCAACCUCCUCCGUACUUGGUCCAUUAAAUUUGAAGAAAGGGGAAACUAUUCAUGAUAUCGUCCGGAAAAGGAAGAUCGAGAAACAGAAAUCCGUCGUCGAAAUUGCCAAAAAAGAAGACAAAGAAAUGGUCGAUCAUAUCUUCUCAGGUUGGAUGUACGCAGUAGCUAUGCCAUUCAACCAAGCUCAACAUAUUGAAUGCUUAACGACUUGUGAAGCCAUUGGACAAUAUGGUCCAGCAUACCGGCCUCCAAAUAUGACUCAGUUGCGAGAGUCUUGUCUAGAAAGACAUGUGGGUGACAUCGAUGCGAUGAGAGCCAGGCACGAGAUAAAGUGGAAGACCAAUGGUUGUACUUUAUUGUCUGAUGGAUGGACAGAUGUCAGAGGAAGAAACCUAAUGAACUUCUUCGUGAAUUCGACCGAAGGAUCGUUCUAUCUUUAUUCCAUAGACACCACUCAUGAAAGAAAUACAGCUUCUUACAUUGCCAAGGCAUUAGAUAAAGCUAUGCAAGUCAUCGGCCCGAGUAGUGUGGUUCAGAUAUGUACAGAUAAUGCGGCGAACUAUGUCAGUGCCGGUGAAAUAUUGAUGAACAAGUACGACCAUUUAUUCUGGACACCGUGCGUAGCUCAUUGCUUGGAUCUGAUUUUGGAGGACAUUGGGAAACUGCCAAAGUACAAGAAGAUGAUUUCUGAUGGUCGCAAGAUAGCGACCUACAUCUAUGCCCAUGGUGUUCUCCAUAGCACUUUCUUGACCAUAUCAGGUGGGAAAGAGUUGGUGAGAUGCGGAGUCACAAGAUUCGCAACGUCUUUUCUCACAUUACAGAGUUUGAAAGAACAGAGGGAAAAUUUGAAGAAGAUUGAUUGGCUACCAUGGGCUAAUGUGACUUGUGGAAGUGAAGUGCAAAAAUUAGUCUGGACCAACUCUUUCUGGUUGAGCCUAUACGAGUGUUUGGCCGUUUCUGAACCUCUAGUGAGGUUGCUGAGAUUAGUUGACCAAGAUGACAAACCAUGCAUGGGCAGAGUUCUGAAUGACUUGAAGAUGGCAAGGAAGCACACUAGAGAUAUGUUGAAAGACAAAAAUCUGCCAUUGCUAACCCAAAUUGACAAGAGUAGGUUUGCUGGAAUGCUUCUCCCAACGCUUAACCCGGAUUUCGGUCGAUUCGACAAGAUCCGACCCGGAUCCGCCUAACCCGCUCCAGCGCAUGUAGGCGUUUUGCCUACAUGCGCUGGAGCGCAUGACCGCCUAGGCGUCGCAUAUAAAACUAUGGUCAUGACCAUCGCAUGACCGCAUGAACACAUGAAAAAGCUUGGUAAAAAUCAAGGUUUAAAAACCGACGGUUAACCGGCUGACCGGUAAAAAAUUAAAAACCGGUGGCCGGUUAAUUGGGACGGGUAAAUGGGUUGAUGGGUCGGGUCUUAUCCGUACCCAACCCGAAUACCCAACCCGGUUUCAAUAAAAUAAUACUUAUUUAAUCUGUUUUAAUUUGUUUUUUUUAAAGACUUCAAUUAAUAAAGCCCAUUACGUUUUAUUAAUAAGUUAUUUUAAGGCCUCAUUUAAAGGCCUUAUUUUAAUAAGUUUAAAUUUUAUAAGCCUCUCCUUAUAAGUUAUUAGACCUCAUUUGAAUUACUAUUUUGAAUUACUUAUUUGAAUUACUAUUUUGAAUUACUAUUUUGAAUGACUAUUUUGAAUUACUAUAUUGUUUAUGAUAUUUUUAUUUAUAUAAACAGGGAUAUAAACAUGGAUAUAAACAUGGAAUAGAUAUAUAAGUAUAUAACAGAAUUUCUGUUUUAAAAAAAAUUACGAAAAUACCCCUAUCGGUUAACCAGUGGUCUAACCGGUAAGCCAGAACCGGUUACCGGUUAACCGGUUUUUAAACCUUGGUAAAAAUAAAGAUAAAAGAAUUGAUAUUAGUUUAAAAGUUCAACAAAUAUAUUAUAUUAUAUUAUUAAUUUAAAAUACCUAUAUUCAUGACCAUAUAUCUUAAAAUGUUCAUUCAACCUUUUCAAAGUCUUCACUUUUUUGUAUGUGACCACAAUGUUCAAAACAUUGAAUAUUCUGCAAUUAAAAAUAAAUAUUAUAUGAAUAUUUCAUUUUUAAUAUAUAAUAUAAACUAAAAAUAAAUGACUUACGAGUUAAAUUUAUUUAAGCUUCUAAAGAAAUGUGUAAAAGAGCUUCCAUAUUCUUGUAAUGACAACCGUCGAUGAGCACACAAAUCAGAGAAAAAAUCAUCUAAUAUUGGUAUAAAAUCAU